GUAACUUAUUUUUUUUGUUAUUCUCAGAAGAUCCACUAAAAACAAGAGUUUGGUAACCUCCGGCGGAUCGGCGCGCCGCCUCCGGGGGGGCGCCCGCCACCCCGAGAGGAGUGGUGGCGGCCCCCCUUCGGCGCCGGCGUCACCGCCGAAGCAACGACAAAAGGUAAAGUUCACAGUGGUUUCCGGAAGAGCUUUUUAGGGCCCUCCAGGCGUCUUUUAAUGAUCCCUCCGCUGGUUCACCAACGGAGA
rnacentral:misc_RNA from 1 species